CAAUUUAAACAACGAAGAGUUUGAUCCUGGCUCAGGAUGAACGCUAGCGACAGGCUUAACACAUGCAAGUCGAGGGGCAGCGGGGGUAGCGAUACCCGCCGGCGACCGGCGCACGGGUGAGUAACGCGUAUGCAACUUACCUAUCAGAGGGGGAUAACCCGGCGAAAGUCGGACUAAUACCGCAUGAAGCAGGGGCCCCGCAUGGGGGUAUUUGCUAAAGAUUCAUCGCUGAUAGAUAGGCAUGCGUUCCAUUAGGCAGUUGGCGGGGUAACGGCCCACCAAACCGACGAUGGAUAGGGGUUCUGAGAGGAAGGUCCCCCACAUUGGUACUGAGACACGGACCAAACUCCUACGGGAGGCAGCAGUGAGGAAUAUUGGUCAAUGGGCGUAAGCCUGAACCAGCCAAGUCGCGUGAGGGAUGAAGGUUCUAUGGAUCGUAAACCUCUUUUAUAAGGGAAUAAAGUGCGGGACGUGUCCCGUUUUGUAUGUACCUUAUGAAUAAGGAUCGGCUAACUCCGUGCCAGCAGCCGCGGUAAUACGGAGGAUCCGAGCGUUAUCCGGAUUUAUUGGGUUUAAAGGGUGCGUAGGCGGCCUUUUAAGUCAGCGGUGAAAGUCUGUGGCUCAACCAUAGAAUUGCCGUUGAAACUGGGAGGCUUGAGUAUGUUUGAGGCAGGCGGAAUGCGUGGUGUAGCGGUGAAAUGCUUAGAUAUCACGCAGAACCCCGAUUGCGAAGGCAGCCUGCCAAGCCAUGACUGACGCUGAUGCACGAAAGCGUGGGGAUCAAACAGGAUUAGAUACCCUGGUAGUCCACGCAGUAAACGAUGAUCACUAGCUGUUUGCGAUACACAGUAAGCGGCACAGCGAAAGCGUUAAGUGAUCCACCUGGGGAGUACGCCGGCAACGGUGAAACUCAAAGGAAUUGACGGGGGCCCGCACAAGCGGAGGAACAUGUGGUUUAAUUCGAUGAUACGCGAGGAACCUUACCCGGGUUUGAACGCAUUCGGACCGAGGUGGAAACACCUUUUCUAGCAAUAGCCGUUUGCGAGGUGCUGCAUGGUUGUCGUCAGCUCGUGCCGUGAGGUGUCGGCUUAAGUGCCAUAACGAGCGCAACCCUUGCCACUAGUUACUAACAGGUGAUGCUGAGGACUCUGGUGGGACUGCCAGCGUAAGCUGCGAGGAAGGCGGGGAUGACGUCAAAUCAGCACGGCCCUUACAUCCGGGGCGACACACGUGUUACAAUGGCGUGGACAAAGGGAAGCCACCUGGCGACAGGGAGCGAAUCCCCAAACCACGUCUCAGUUCGGAUCGGAGUCUGCAACCCGACUCCGUGAAGCUGGAUUCGCUAGUAAUCGCGCAUCAGCCAUGGCGCGGUGAAUACGUUCCCGGGCCUUGUACACACCGCCCGUCAAGCCAUGGGAGCCGGGGGUACCUGAAGUCCGUAACCGCGAGGAUCGGCCUAGGGUAAAACUGGUGACUGGGGCUAAGUCGUAACAAGGUAGCCGUACCGGAAGGUGCGGCUGGAACACCUCCUUUCUGGAGC
rnacentral:rRNA from 1 species